CACGUAGGGCGCGAGCGUUGUCCGGAAUUAUUGGGCGUAAAGAGCUCGUAGGCGGCCUGUUGCGUCCGCUGUGAAAGCCCGGGGCUUAACCCCGGGUCUGCAGUGGGUACGGGCAGACUAGAGUGCGGUAGGGGAGACUGGAAUUCCUGGUGUAGCGGUGAAAUGCGCAGAUAUCAGGAGGAACACCAAUUGCGAAGGCAGCUCGCUGGAACGUAACUGACGCUGAGACGCGAAAGCGUGGGGAGCAAACAGG
rnacentral:rRNA from 1 species